GUAUUAUUGAGGAGUCCCACAAUAGGACAAAACGGCCGUCCAAUGU
rnacentral:hammerhead_ribozyme from 1 species